CCUACGGGUGGCAGCAGUGAGGAAGAGUGGUCAAUGGGCGAGAGCCUGAACCAGCCAAGUCGCGUGAAGGAUGAAGGAUCUAUGGUUUGUAAACUUCUGUUAUAUGGGAAUAAAGUGAGGAACGUGUGCCUUUUUGUAUGUACCAUAUGAAUAAGCAUCGGCUAACUCCGUGCCAGCAGCCGCGGUAAUACGGAGGAUGCGAGCGUUAUCCGGAUUUAUUGGGUUUAAAGGGUGCGUAGGUGGUUAAUUAAGUCAGCGGUGAAAGUUUGUGGCUCAACCAUAAAAUUGCCGUUGAAACUGGUUGACUUGCUUAUAUUUGUGGUCGGCGGACUGCGUUGUGUAGCGGUGACAUGCAUCGCUCUCACGCAGAACUCCGAUUGCG
rnacentral:rRNA from 1 species